GGUCCCCAUUUUCCUCUUCUUACUCAAAACGAAUCUGACAUUCAUUUUUCUCAUUUACCUAUUCAAAUCCCAUGUCAUUAAUUUAAUCAAAAUCUUCUCUCAUAGCAAUUAAUUUUUCCGAUUUCCAAUUCAUCAUUCACGGAAUCAGCCUCUUCUUCAUCGAUAUUGCUUCAAAAUCAAAUUCUUCUCAUGAUUUCUAUUUGUUUUCCAGAUGAAAUGAAAUUCGAAGUGAAAGUGACAAAUAAUGUUUGUUUUCUUCAACAUACUGGUGAGAAUGGAGCUUCCAGAGCUCCAAUUUGCAUGGAUCUGCAACGAGAUACUUCUAUGAGUAACAACUCUAUUAUAUUGCAGAUUGAAAAUAAAUCUCAUCAAGUUAGUUAAAUCUUUUCCAAUUCACAUAGAUCAAAAAGGUUGAUCUAUGUAUUUUAGCAAUUUUUCUGGAUUGAUUAUUUCAUCUGUAUUCAUAUGUUUUGUUUUAUUUUCUACAAGUGCUUUAAGACAUUUUUUGCAAGAUAAGUUGAGUUAGGCUUCCCCAGCCAAGGCACGAGAUCAAAUAAUUGUGAAGCUAUGCACGAGAGUACAAGUCUUUAUAUGAUUUCAAUUUGGAUUUUAGAUUUCGCGUGACGAUUUCUACGAAAGUGACAAUUGAAGGGGAAAAUCAGUGGUGAUGGCAGGAGACACUCAAGAUUCGUCGCCUCAGUCUUUCUGGGAAGGCUACAAAGGGUUCUGGGGCGAGAUCGAGGUUACUAUUCUAAUUUUGUCAAGCGUGAUAAACCACUUACCUCCUGGUUUGACUAUGAUGUUGAGGAAUUCGUCGCUUCUGAUCCUAUUCAUGGACAUCUGGUAACGAUUCUUUUACUUUUUCAUCUACGUUUUUGUCUUUUCAUGUCAUUGUGUGUGAUUUGAUUGAUUCCCUUGAAAGCAUUUGGUUCUCUCAUAUCUUGAACUUCUACGUAGUUUGUAUGGUCAUUUUGGAUGGUCAUUUUAGAUCAAGUAUACUUUGUGUUAUGAAAAUGUUUUAAUAUAUCAGUUUGUUAUUAUUCAACUAACUUCACUAUUAUUUGUGUCAGUUAUUGAAAAGUUUUAUUUUUUGUAUUUAUUUCAUAAGCUGCUAUUUUACAAUUAUUUCUAUGGGAUCUCGAGUAUUUGUAGAUUUUACAUAAUCGAGGAUUGAUUUAAUUUAAAAUUUUCAUUUAUAAUUGUAUUUUCUAUAAAUGAAAUUCAUUUUAACAAGUUCUGAACUAUUGCUAUUUACCAUUACGACAGAGUUCAUUUUGAGGCAAACCUUAUCGAAAAAUUGGGUAUAUUUUAGAUUAGUGUUGUGAUAAUAUAAUCAUUAGAACUCAUAAUGCUCAUAAGUGUACGUUAGCUUAUAUUUUUGGUAGCAAAUGGAUGGAUUGAAGGUGAAAGGCACAUUUCAAUAGUUCAUCAUCCUGUUUUACAUUCUUUUUCUGUGACUAGAACAUUCUUUCUUUCUCUGUGACUGAGAGUGGAGUUUUGUUUUGCUCAAAUUGUCAAACAGUUAGAUGGAAUUGGUUUGUUAAUUGCAACAAGGAUAUUUACAUUUUUCAAUUUAUUUAUUUAGAUUGACAUUUGAGACUACCUACAAACUCCUAUGGUGGCCAUCUUUAGUUUUUGCCCAUUCUUUGGUAAUACUGAUGUGUUGAAAGAAGAUUUUGUAUUUGUGGCAAGAUCAACAUUGGUCAAAUAUAAAUUUACGGUAGGAAUUAGAUUCACGGUUAGUUUUGUAAUGCAGGUUCAAUCAGAAAUACAGAUCGAACCAUUAGAAUUGGAAAAAUAUAUCAUCAUAAUGAAAAAUGUAUUCCAUUGGUUAAAUAUUAAUUAAAUAUUAUUGUUUUAUUUAAAAUUAUUAAAUAUGUAAUAUAAUGUUUGAAGAUUUAAUUAGUUUUAAUUUGGAUUUAGAGGUGAUUAUUAUAGUAAUUUCUUUUCUUAAAUGAAUCAUUUUAUAGAUUUCAAAAGUUAAAAUAUCAUGUUCCCAUCUCAAAAGAAGAAAAAAUAUAUACAAAAAA